rnacentral:rRNA from 1 species
AUGAACGCUGGCGGCGUGCCUAAUACAUGCAAGUCGAGCGAACAGAUGAGGAGCUUGCUCCUCUGACGUUAGCGGCGGACGGGUGAGUAACACGUGGAUAACCUACCUAUAAGACUGGGAUAACUUCGGGAAACCGGAGCUAAUACCGGAUAAUAUAUUGAACCGCAUGGUUCAAUAGUGAAAGACGGUUUUGCUGUCACUUAUAGAUGGAUCCGCGCCGCAUUAGCUAGUUGGUAAGGUAACGGCUUACCAAGGCAACGAUGCGUAGCCGACCUGAGAGGGUGAUCGGCCACACUGGAACUGAGACACGGUCCAGACUCCUACGGGAGGCAGCAGUAGGGAAUCUUCCGCAAUGGGCGAAAGCCUGACGGAGCAACGCCGCGUGAGUGAUGAAGGUCCUCGGAUCGUAAAACUCUGUUAUUAGGGAAGAACAAAUGUGUAAGUAACUAUGCACGUCUUGACGGUACCUAAUCAGAAAGCCACGGCUAACUACGUG